rnacentral:rRNA from 1 species
GACGGCCAUACCACGUUGAAAACACCGGUUCUCGUCCGAUCACCGCAGUUAAGCAACAUUAGGCAUGGUUAGUACUUGGAUGGGUGACCGCCUGGGAACACCUUGUGCUGUUG